GCUGACACAUCCCGGCCAAUCUCCAGCAGACCCUCCCUCCCAGACCCUCCUACUUCCUGGACAGCAUCCAUGUUGAAGGCAGCUUCAACAUGGAUGCUGUCCAGGAGAUGGGAGGGUCUGGGAGGGAGGGUCUGCCGGAGAUUGGCAGGGAUGUGUCAG